rnacentral:rRNA from 1 species
UACGUAGGGACCAAGCGUUGUUCGGAUUUACUGGGCGUAAAGCGUGCGCAGGCGGUGAUGUAAGACAGGUGUGAAAUCCCCGGGCUUAACCUGGGAACUGCAUUUGUGACUGCAUCGCUGGAGUGCGGCAGAGGGGGAUGGAAUUCCGCGUGUAGCAGUGAAAUGCGUAGAUAUGCGGAGGAACACCGAUGGCGAAGGCAAUCCCCUGGGCCUGCACUGACGCUCAUGCACGAAAGCGUGGGGAGCAAACAGG